UUGGUUUAGGCCUGGUUGGGGGCAGCUUAGGCCUGGCGGGCCUCCAGGCCUGCCGUCCUCCAGGGAAACCCUGCACAUGUAUUACAGACUGAUGUGAUAAUAGCCUACAUGUAGCUUAGCACAAGGACUGGAGGCUAGGCUAACACUUAGCUGAGCCCACACUGGUCCUGUCUCUCUCUGCUGGAGGUAUCCGUACGAGAUGAGAUGAACUCAUCCAGAGCCGUCAUCGCAAAUGACCACUAUUUCCCAAAUAUUUCUUUUAGAUUUCAGUCUUAUGAUUUCCGUGCAUUCCGUUAGCUUUCAUAAAUGCCGAUGCCAUUACAGCUGUUGUUCUAUAUUUCGUGUUUUUGCACGUCUUGCUGUGACUCAUGCGAACAGGGCCAUGUUAGUUUAUUGCGAUACAUUUUGUAGUUCUUUAUUUCUCAUAGACCUUGAAUGUAUUUUUGAAUGCUCAACUUCUUUUGUAUUUGGUCCAUAAUUCCUAAACAGAUUCUUCAUAUAGCUUCAUAAGUUCCUCGCUGUACAUUUCCUCGUGUUUUGGUUUAGUUCAAAAUUAUGACUUCUAUAUAAUAUUUUGUGACUUACUUAUAAAUGCACCGAUCCAACUUUUUCACUCCCGAUACCGGAGCUUUGGGUACCGAUCCGAGUCCCUGCACACCGAUCUCAUCCGACUAAUCAACCAGUUUUAGUUUAGUGGAUUUCAAUCACUCACACACACACACACACAACAUAAAUGGUAAUAGACAAAAACUGUCACCUUAAUUCAUACGGUGUCAUCUUAACUCGUUUUGUUAUCAAUACUGAACGAAAAGGUUGAAUUUGCUUAUUACACCGAACUUUUUUACAUUAUAUUUUGUUUUUAGGUCCUUCAGAAUCGAAUCAAGCUUAUUAAAUGUAUUAUUAAUCUCUGUACGUUUAUACACAUUAACACACUAGGAGAGGAUGUGAAAUGGAACCCACUCCCGUUCAUAUUCACAUAGCCAUACAUUCCUCACUUUGAUAUUUUUGUUUAGCAUCUUCUUUUUUAGUAUUUUCUUUUAAAGUCUUCCGGUGACAACGUGACUGGGAUCAUUAUAUGAGUGGAAGGCUCCAUCAGGCUGGGCUUUGUAAUACUGAAUAUAACAAAUACAUGGAUACACAUUUAUAGAAUUAUUUAUUAAAAUUAAGAACAAAAAAGAAUAGCUCGACCCCAGUGUCACCUGACCCAGCUCUUAAUAUCGGCCUGAUAUCAGUAUCAGGUCGGUGCAUUCUCAUAAUUAUCCUACAUGUGAUCAUAAUUAUGGGAUUUCUUAUAAUGAGAAAGUUCCCAUUGUUUUUUUUCCAUAACGAGUGAAAUAUUAUGGUUCAUAAGAUAGAUUACUGUUAGAAUCUCAGUCCCAAAUCCGAACUAUGGGUACGGUAGUUCUACACAUGAAUGCACAGAUAGUUUGAAUUGACAAAGUGAUGAACACAUGCUGAAAGAUAUGAUAUUAAGGAUUAUGGACAGAAGAAAAGCAAUAUCUAUGCUACGGACUGAAUUACUGUUGCCUUUUGCUCUUUUCUGGACCCGUUUAUUUGUUUUCUUCUUCUGGGUUCAUUCUUGACGUACAAUAGCCAAAUAAUCACUAAAGCACAUUAUCGUGAGAUAGAGCCAAGGGAAACAUAAAGCCAUUAUUAAUAUGUGACUGAGUAAAAGGAGGAAGAUCUAUGGGUGAUCUAGCUCACACAGCAGAAGAUGUUUUUGAAUGAAAAAUUAAUGUUUGUGCCAUAAACUAUUUCUGCAGUAUAGAAAACGCAUUAUUGUUUGACCCUAACCUUUUUUGUAUUGGACGUGCAAACUUUGUGUUAAUUUUCCAUGUCUUUAGUGUUGAUGUUGUGUCAUACCUGAUGCUUAUGUUUUGUUGAACGGUUUUUGAAAAAAAUAUCUAUUUUUAGAAACCCAUGGAACAUUUCCAUUUGUUUACAAGAGCAGCGGUAUGGAAGCAGAGAGCGGCUGUGUCGUCGUUCAUUUUUGGUCACGACAAUUUGACGUUCAAUCCCGGUAUCUCGGUAACGAGGUCUUCCAAUAAGUGGGGACAAAAGUCUUCAUCCCCUUGAGUCCAGAACUAGAUAUGUGAUGAUUUAAAAACUUAGUUUUCUUAUGAAAAUCUAACAUGAAUUUCUUUACCUCAAGAAAACCCCUUUUAUUCUGUUACUUUGAGAAGACGGGAUAUUUAUUUCAGUUAUC